rnacentral:sRNA from 1 species
GUCGACGGUGACUGGCUCCUGCAUGAUC